CGCGGCCUAUCAGUUUGUUGGUGAGGUAAUGGCUCACCAAGACGAUGACGGGUAGCCGGCCUGAGAGGGCGACCGGCCACACUGGGACUGAGACACGGCCCAGACUCCUACGGGAGGCAGCAGUGGGGAAUAUUGCACAAUGGGCGAAAGCCUGAUGCAGCGACGCCGCGUGGGGGAUGACGGCCUUCGGGUUGUAAACCUCUUUCAGUAGGGAAGAAGCGAAAGUGACGGUACCUGCAGAAGAAGCGCCGGCUAACUACGUGCCAGCAGCCGCGGUAAUACGUAGGGCGCAAGCGUUGUCCGGAAUUAUUGGGCGUAAAGAGCUCGUAGGUGGCUUGUCGCGUCUGCCGUGAAAACCCGAGGCUCAACCUCGGGCGUGCGGUGGGUACGGGCAGGCUAGAGUGUGGUAGGGGAGACUGGAACUCCUGGUGUAGCGGUGAAAUGCGCAGAUAUCAGGAAGAACACCGAUGGCGAAGGCAGGUCUCUGGGCCAUUACUGACACUGAGGAGCGAAAGCAUGGGUAGCGAACAGGAUUAGAUACCCUGGUAGUCCAUGCCGUAAACGUUGGGCACUAGAUGUGGGGGACAUUCCACGUUUUCCGCGUCGUAGCUAACGCAUUAAGUGCCCCGCCUGGGGAGUACGGCCGCAAGGCUAAAACUCAAAGGAAUUGACGGGGGCCCGCACAAGCGGCGGAGCAUGCUGAUUAAUUCGAUGCAACGCGAAGAACCUUACCAAGGCUUGACAUGCACCGGACGGCCGCAGAGAUGUGGCUUUCUUCGGACUGGUGCACAGGUGGUGCAUGGUUGUCGUCAGCUCGUGUCGUGAGAUGUUGGGUUAAGUCCCGCAACGAGCGCAACCCUUGUUCUAUGUUGCCAGCACGUCAUGGUGGGGACUCAUAGGAGACUGCCGGGGUCAACUCGGAGGAAGGUGGGGACGACGUCAAAUCAUCAUGCCCCUUAUGUCUUGGGCUUCAAGCAUGCUACAAUGGUCGGUACAAUGGGUUGCGAAACUGUGAGGUGGAGCGAAUCCCAAAAAGCCGGCCUCAGUUCGGAUUGGGGUCUGCAACUCGACCCCAUGAAGUCGGAGUCGCUAGUAAUCGCAGAUCA
rnacentral:rRNA from 1 species